rnacentral:rRNA from 1 species
UACGUAGGUGGCAAGCGUUGUCCGGAAUUAUUGGGCGUAAAGCGCGCGCAGGCGGUCCUUUAAGUCUGAUGUGAAAGCCCACGGCUCAACCGUGGAGGGUCAUUGGAAACUGGGGGACUUGAGUACAGAAGAGAAGAGUGGAAUUCCACGUGUAGCGGUGAAAUGCGUAGAGAUGUGGAGGAACACCAGUGGCGAAGGCGGCACCCUGGGUCUGACCUGACACUGAUCCGCGACAGCAUGGGGAGCGAACGGG